rnacentral:misc_RNA from 1 species
GUCUUUGGCCCCUAAAAGAGUUCAAAAUUAACUAAAAUUUUCUUUCCCUGUAUUACAUUUAAUAGAAUUGUCGGGUCAUAAAAGUGUGCAGGCUUUAAAUGUGUCAGCUGACAUGCAUGCUAAUCAUGCCAAAAGUAUGUUAUUCCUGUUUUGUUGAGAAACAACAUGAUUCUUUUUAUCUAAUAGCAUGAAUCUGCUUAAGCAUUACCUGAGCCACCCUCUUAUUUCAAGUUGUUUAAUGUUCGAGUUGUGUUGGGAGUAUUGUACAAUAAUGCAACCCGUAGUCAAUUUGUAAAGAAACCAAAUAAAAGAAAAUGAAUCCAUUUUUAAAUGGAGAUUUCAAUAAAAUUUCUAAGAUGGCUGAUGUAAUUUUAAGAAUUUUCGAUUUGUCUUGAAAAUGGUAAACAUGCAAGGAAGGGAAUAUCACUUGCAUUUUUUAGUCUCUGUAUGGGCUAAAAAGCAUUCACCAAGCAUCCACUUUUAUAAUGAACAAGUCUUUUGAAUAAUGAAAGUCUUGUGGUUUGUAUUUUUGCUUUAAAACAGUAAUGGAAAAUCAUACGUGGACCAUAUUAAAGAUGCUGGAAUAAGAAGGAACUCUGGCUCGUAAUGACUUAUGCCUUGGAUUCUCUAAGGGAAGCUUACGGCUUUUCUGUGAAGUAUUUCAUAACAUAAAGUAUCAUAUAUGGCAGAUGCAGUUAGUUAUUACUCCAUUUGAUAAGACACAUUAUCUUAAGGCUGCAUGGAGUUUCUUACACAAUAAAUUAGGUUCGGUUCAGUUCAGUUCCUACAAUGUCAUUUUUUGGGGUUUU